UGUCUUCUCAGUCAUGUUGACACUGGUCCACUACCAGGUCAUGUGUCUUCUCAGUCAUGUUGACACUGGUCCACUACCAGGUCAUGUGUCUUCUCAGUCAUGUUGACACUGGUCCACUACCAGGUCAUGUGUCUUCUCAGUCAUGUUGACACUGGUCCACUACCAGGUCAUGUGUCUUCUCAGUCAUGUUGACACUGGUCAACUACCAGGUCAUGUGUCUUCUCAGUCAUGUUGACACUGGUCCACUACCAGGUCAUGUGUCUUCUCAGUCAUGUUGACACUGGUCUACUACCAGGUCAUGUGUCUUCUCAGUCAUGUUGACACUGGUCCACUACCAGGUCAUGUGUCUUCUCAGUCAUGUUGACACUGGUCAACUACCAGGUCAUGUGUCUUCUCAGUCAUGUUGACACUGGUCCACUACCAGGUCAUGUGUCUUCUCAGUCAUGUUGACACUGGUCUACUACCAGGUCAUGUGUCUUCUCAGUCAUGUUGACACUGGUCCACUACCAGGUCAUGUGUCUUCUCAGUCAUGUUGACACUGGUCUACUACCAGGUCAUGUGUCUUCUCAGUCAUGUUGACACUGGUCCACUACCAGGUCAUGUGUCUUCUCAGUCAUGUUGACACUGGUCUACUACCAGGUCACGUGUCUUCUCAGUCAUGUUGACACUGGUCUACUACCAGGUCAUGUGUCUUCUCAGUCAUGUUGACACUGGUCUACUACCAGGUCAUGUGUCUUCUCAGUCAUGUUGACACUGGUCUACUACCAGGUCAUGUGUCUUCUCAGUCAUGUUGACACUGGUCUACUACCAGGUCAUGUGUCCUCUCAGUCAUGUUGACACUGGUCCACUACCAGGUCAUGUGUCUUCUCAGUCAUGUUGACACUGGUCUACUACCAGGUCAUGUGUCUUCUCAGUCAUGUUGACACUGGUCCACUACCAUUGCUUUAAUGUAUUGUUGUUCUCAUUAAUAUUGUUGUUGUUGUUAAUGGUUAUCCCAUGUCCACUACUACUAU